GUUUUUGGAAUGUUAAAUACUUCGGUUCCUGCAACAACAUCAGGAGAUGUAUCCAGCUUCCGCAAGAAUUCUGCAAGAAGGACAUAAAAUAAAAUAGGAUCGAAUCACAAGUCUAAUAUGACCAAUGGAUAUGAGAAGUUAUGUGUACCAUUUCCUGGCUAUCACAACUAAGUACUACUGUGCUCACUUACUCUCAUGAACAGAGGGGAGGAGACAAUGGCCAUUCUCUCUCCAUCUCUUGCUCUGGAGGCUGUGAAAGGCUGCAGUGGUAAACACCUAUUGACAUGUAAAUGGACUAAAGG